AGUGGUAUGACCAAAGUGUAUAAACGGUUUGGAAAAAAAUUUUCUCAAAAGAAUAAAGAAUUGAACAAUGAUAUUCACAGUAGAGUUGCAAUGAAUGAAAAUGAGCAAAUGAAAAUGGGAAGUAUGUUAACAGGAUUUAUGAAACUUGGUUUAGUUUCUGAGGCUGAAAAGGUA
rnacentral:lncRNA from 1 species